UAAAGCUGGUUUUUUUUUCAUAACUGUUAUCAGAUGGCUUUUUAUGCAUUACAUGAAGGGAACUUGUAGGGUGAUAGGCUUACUGUUUCAUAUGAAAAUAUUGGCGUUUUUAGCUAUUGUUUGUAUUUCUCUAAUGUGGUGCAUGAUAGCUUACUUAGUGGACAUGCAUGUGGUAGACUUUCCAGAUUUUUUUACUUACUAAGCUGUGUUUCCUGCUCUUUUGUGAGGGACUCAUGAUUACUUUUUCAGUGACACUUCAUUGAAGUGAUCGUGUUAUGGUAGCUUUAAUUCAUCAUCAUGUGAAAAAAGCAGUAGAUAACCAAAUUAUUAAAGACUGGAUAACCUUGUUUUCCAGCUUUUAGAGGCAGUGGUUGCAUAGGAUAAUCACACAGUUCCCUGACUGCUGAAGAUGAUUUAAAAUAUUGGGGUUUUAUAUAAAUGUUACAGUACUGGGAUUUGAGGAAAUAACACUGCAGUGAAAUCUACUAGCAGAGGCUUCUUUUUCUUUCAAUUUACAACAUAGUUAAUGUUAGCAGUCAAAUGUGUUUGAGAGUAUACCUAGAGUUGAGAUAGCAAGGGAUGUGAAGGGCAGUGAAAAUGGCUUCUGCGGAUAUGCUGGUGGUGAAAGGGUGACUAGGGAAGACACGGGCCUGAUGCUAAAUGGCGUAGGAGACCUGUUCUCAAAAGGCUGAGGACAAUGUCCUCUUUGCUUUAGUCUUUAUUUGCAAGGCUUGUUUCCAGGUUCUUCAAGGCUCUGGGCCUAGAAACACGCGUCUGAUGGAGCGAGGUACUUCUUUGUCUCUGUCAGAGGAAGAGGAAGUUAGGGGCAGGCCAGUUCAGUGAGCCAGCCACGCACAAGUAGGUGAGACUGGGUGGGAUAUGUCAGGGGACGCUGGCCAGCGUCCUCGUGAGGAUGGUCUCCAAAAGGCAGGGGAUUUGAUGGCGGGAGGGCUCGCAAUAACUGGAAAAAAGAAAAUGUCACACCUGGCUUCAAGGAGGAGGAUGUGGGGAAAGUACAGGCAGGUCAGCCUAACCUUAGGCUUCAGGAAGAUUGUAGAGCAGAUCCUCCUGACAGCCAUGUCUGGGCUCUUAGAAGGCAAGAAGGUGAUGGGAAUAGCCAGGACGGAUUACCCAGAGGCAAAUCUUGUCUGACCCGUCUGACGGCCUUUUGUGACGGGAUGUGUGGCUCAGGGUACCAGUCAGAUACUUUGGAGCAUCCUAACAUGGUGUGGGAAGUGAAGACAAAUCAAAUGCCUAAUGCAGUUCAGAAACUCCUUCUGGUAGUGGACAAGAGAACUUCAGGGAUGAAUGAGUCACUGGAGUUGCUGAAGUGUAAUGAAAACUUGCCCUCUUCUCCUGGAUAUGCAUCUGGUGAUGAACACAUGGAACUUGAUGAUCUUCCUGAACUACAGGCUGUGCAGACGGAUUCUACCCCACCUGCACUUUUUCAGCUGGGUGCUGAUGUUUCACAUCAGGAAUGUUCAAGGCCCUCAUGGAACCAACAUACCUCAAACAGCAAUUCAGAAAGUGCUUAUUCUUGUGAGGAUGGGGUGAACUGGUUGACAGAAUUAGCAAAUAUAGCCACAAGUCCUCAGAGUCCUUUGAUGCAGUGCUCUUUUUAUAACAGAUCAUCUCCUGUUCACAUAAUAGCUACAAGCAAAAGUUUACAUUCCUAUGCACGUCCUCCACCAGGAUCCUCAAAGAAUGAUCCUAACUUCUCCAAGAAUGAUGUGGAUGAAACACCAGUCAGACAUGAAAGGGCGAAUAGUGAAUCAGAAUCUGGCAUUUUCUGCAUGUCGUCACUUUCAGAUGAUGAUGAUUUAGGAUGGUGCCAUUCCUGGCCCUCAACUGUUUGGCAUUGUUUUCUAAAAGGCUCUCGUUUGUGCUUUCAUAAAGGACGCAAUAAAGAAUGGCAGGAUGUCGAAGAUUUUGCAAGAUCUGAAAGCUGUGGAAAAGAGGAGAAUCUCCCAGUGAGUCCUUACAAGGGCUAUGGUUCUGAUGGUUUGAAGUUGAUUUCUCAUGAAGAAAGCAUUUCCUUUGGUGAGUCAGUGCUGAAGCUGACUUUUGAUCCUGGCACAGUGGAAGAUGGCUUGCUUACAGUAGAAUGCAGACUUGAUCAUCCUUUUUAUGUUAAAAAUAAAGGUUGGUCAUCUUUUUAUCCAAGCUUGACUGUGGUACAGCAUGGCAUUCCAUGCUGUGAAAUGCAUCUUGGAGAUCUGUGUCUACCUCCUGGACACCCUGAUGCCAUUAACUUUGAUGAUUCAGGUGUUUUUGAUACAUUUAAAAGUUAUGAUUUUACACCAAUGGAUUCCUCUGCAGUUUAUGUGCUAAGCAGCAUGGCUCGGCAGCGUCGCGCUUCUCUAUCUUGUGGAGGUUCAAACAAUCAAGAUGCUGAGAGAUCAGAAUGCAGUAGUAAAAACUGUGCGUCUACUGCAUCGCCACAUCUUUCCUCCAAUUCUUUGUACAGCAAAGCUGGCAAAAGCCACAGCUCAGGGACUGCAAGUACUGUGAGUGCCACUUCUCCAAACAAGUGCAAAAGACCAAUGAAUGCCUUCAUGCUUUUUGCCAAAAAAUACAGAGUUGAAUAUACUCAGAUGUAUCCAGGGAAAGACAACAGAGCCAUAAGUGUGAUACUCGGUGACAGGUGGAAGAAAAUGAAAAAUGAAGAAAGGCGGAUGUACACACUAGAAGCCAAGGCCUUGGCAGAAGAACAGAAGCGUUUAAAUCCUGACUGUUGGAAACGAAAACGAACAAAUUCUGGCUCACAACAGCAUUAAGCCAGAUUUCCCUGUUAACUCUGUAUUUACAAAAUGGCUGUUGCUUGAUGGCAAGAAGAUGCAAGGUCUUACUAUUUGUUGUGACUUUGUGUGACCAUAAAAUACUGGCACCAUCAAGUUGGAAAUGAUCUAAUAUGAGUGCAGAUUUGCUUUUUACAAUAGAAAAAAGUUUCCUCAGAUGAUCUUGCAUGUCUCUGUGGAAGGAAGGAACAAGAAAGGCCUUACAAAGCUCUAAGUAAUUGUUUCAUGAGCUUUCCCUCACUUCUUCCAUGUUUUGAGGAGCGAACAAGUUAACAUUUAAGUAAUCAGCAGCAGCAUGUUGCACAUGGCUUGAAAUGACAGCUCUGACGCAGAGACUCGGGCAACUGCUGUACUGGUAACCUUUAGAAAUGAGAAGAAUAGACUCCAGCUGCUGCAGACACUGAGAGUACAACUUACAGAAUGAAAACUGGGGCACUGGUGAACAACUGAGAUGCCUUUAGGUGAUUUCCUGGGUAAGGCUUUUGAACUGCCACUGUGCUUUGGGAAAUGCUGCGCUAACCCACAGACAAAGUGCGUUUGUGCGUCUUUGCUGUGUUUUUCUUGUAUGUUGUUGUAGGAUGUCACACAUAGUCUUGUGUAGGUAAGUUGCAGAAAUACAGACAUUUCAACGCUAAAAGGGGCAACUGCGAUUACGUACUUGUUUUUACUUAAUUUAACUUGCUUACAAUGCAGGGCCAUCUUUCAUUUGAGUCUAGUAAAUAGUAUUGUUGAAUGACAGCAUAUCUGUAAAAAUCUGUUUAGAUUCUGACUUAAUAGUUCAUUAAGUAGGCCAAGUUAGUUUGGGCAUACUUAACUAUGGCUUCUAAUGUAAUUGAUUUUCCUCUCCUUUUCCUCUUCUAUUAUUUCUUCAUGUAAUUAAUACAGUGAUCUGAGGGUUUCCUUCUAAAGCUCUUUGUUUAUAUUAUGUUCCAUUGGUGCUAU